UCAAAUCUCAGGGAAGAGUUCUCAGUCCUCUGAAUUCUGCUUAAACCUUGGCGUUCAAGACAGAGAUCGCCAGGCAAGCAUCAGGCCAGACACUGGGAGUUUAUCCUGAGAGCCUGGCCGCACGCUGACAGGGGUGACUGGGGAAUCGUUUAUAGCUCUCAAAGAUGUGAUUUGCCUCGGGCACUGCAUAUCCGAAAGGCCAAGGUCAAACACAACUUUGCCUUCUCUUCUGCUUCCUGUCCACAGCCCAAAGAUGACCUCAGGGUCUUCUUGACUCUUGUAAACAGGCUAGGCACUUUAGAAUGAGUAAAAGACCAAAGAAUAAAGAUGCUAAUGGUGAUUUUCAGUGCAAGCCACCAGGCUUUCUGCUGGGUGUUUCUAGAUCUGUCAAAUGCCAAGAGUAUGUUACAGAAGACCCUGAAGAUGGGGAGAAGAGCUACCUGAUUCAUGAAACCACUGCUGAAAACUAGGACAGCUGACAGCCAAACUCUUGAACAUCUGAGCUGGAAGAUACGUUCCACAGACCUGCAUCAGAUACCAGUGCAGAUCAUUAUGGCGCUAGCACUGAACAGAAGGGCCAGAGAUGGACGGGGUUUUUCAAGAGAUAACCACUGUACCAUUCUCUAUCAAAACUAGGUCUGCACAAUGGCUAAUAAAGUGUUCCUGCAUGGCUCUUCUUAAGAGCCCCAUUGAGCUGGUAAGAAUCUCUUGCAAUUAACACCAUGGUUUACACACAAACAUUAGAUAUUGUCUGAUUCUUGAAAAUGUUUUUGUAGCAUUCAGUUGGUUAAACAUUCUCAGCAUCCAUCUGAUUCCCAAUACCUUUUGCUUAGCUCUGGGGCACAUGCCAAGGGCACAGGCAUCAGGUUUAGAGUGGGUCUACUUGGCCCAGUUUUUUAGGCGUUGCCCUAAUUGCGUAUAAUUAUGGUCUUUUUUGUGCAUGGCACAACUAAACAUUAAAAAAUAAAAAACCUUUCCAGACAAAUUCAUGUGAAAAUUAACCAAUUUAACCCCCUAUUAGCCCAUGUUCCCAGAGUUUUGCUACAGCAAAUCUAUUAUUUGCUUAAGAACAAAUAAAUGGAUGUAUUUAUGAA